AUAAUGAGUCAAACCGGUUUUUCUUUACUAAAUUUAGCGGCUGUCAAGUGCUUAUCAUUUCAGGUUCUGUAUGUCAGAGAUAGCCCAGAUCCCACAAAAUGCAUAAAAACUGAUAACACAGGUCACUGGGAGCCAAACGGCAAAGAAAUGUGCCGCAAGGUCAGAGAUAAUUGUGUAAAUUUACAAGUUUUACGACACUUUCACGCAACGCCAAUUAAAUGCGCUGGCAUAAGAGCCAAGGUCGAAAGAUUACAAACGAAAAUUACAGCUUAAAUCAUUUGUAUUAAAUGGAAUGCCACAAUUAAUACUAGAUACAGAUAUAUUAAUAUAUUUCUGGUUGUCUUGUGGAACUGCUUAUUAAUAAGCUGAGGAUAAAUAUUUUAAAGCCGCUCAACAACAAAUUUAUUUUGUGGGAAUGUAAACUUCUAUGUGCACAAAUUGUUAAAUACUGGGCAGCCAAGUCACCCUCGUCGUAGCGACAUCUCUUGGUGUGCACCGGUUGGUCCGUGUCCAAAUACCCGGCAGGA